rnacentral:rRNA from 1 species
GACGAACGCUGGCGGCGUGCCUAACACAUGCAAGUCGAACGAUGAAAGAAGGUCUUUUUCCUCUUUAUUAGUGGCUAACGGGUGAGUGACACGUGUGCAGUCUGCUCCUUACUCCGGGGUAACUACUGGUAACUGUAGUUAAUACCGCAUAUUCGCCUCACAGGCACAAGUAUCGGUGGGUAAGGAUUUCUUUCCUUGAUGAGCUCGCGGCCUAUCAGCCUGUUGGUGAGGUAACGGCUCACCAAGGCGCCGACGGGCAGCCGACCUGUGAGGGUGACCGGGGACAAUGGGACUGAGAGACGGCCCAGACGCCAACGGGAGGCAGCGGGGGGGAGAAUUGUACAAUGGGCGCAAGCGUGAGGAAGAAACGCCGGGUGAGGGAUGAAGGCCUUCGGGUUGGAAAGCGCGUAAAGCAGGGAAGAAGCGAAAGUGACGGUACCUGCAGAAAAAGCGCCGGCUAACUACGUG